AUUGAACGCUGGCGGCAGGCCUAACACAUGCAAGUCGAGCCGCAGCGGAAAGUAGCUUGCUACUUUGCCGGCGAGCGGCGGACGGGUGAGUAAUGUCUGGGAAACUGCCUGAUGGAGGGGGAUAACUACUGGAAACGGUAGCUAAUACCGCAUGACCUCGAAAGAGCAAAGUGGGGGAUCUUCGGACCUCACGCCAUCGGAUGUGCCCAGAUGGGAUUAGCUAGUAGGUGAGGUAAUGGCUCACCUAGGCGACGAUCCCUAGCUGGUCUGAGAGGAUGACCAGCCACACUGGAACUGAGACACGGUCCAGACUCCUACGGGAGGCAGCAGUGGGGAAUAUUGCACAAUGGGCGCAAGCCUGAUGCAGCCAUGCCGCGUGUGUGAAGAAGGCCUUAGGGUUGUAAAGCACUUUCAGCGAGGAGGAAGGCAUCAUACUUAAUACGUGUGGUGAUUGACGUUACUCGCAGAAGAAGCACCGGCUAACUCCGUGCCAGCAGCCGCGGUAAUACGGAGGGUGCAAGCGUUAAUCGGAAUUACUGGGCGUAAAGCGCACGCAGGCGGUUUGUUAAGUCAGAUGUGAAAUCCCCGCGCUUAACGUGGGAACUGCAUUUGAAACUGGCAAGCUAGAGUCUUGUAGAGGGGGGUAGAAUUCCAGGUGUAGCGGUGAAAUGCGUAGAGAUCUGGAGGAAUACCGGUGGCGAAGGCGGCCCCCUGGACAAAGACUGACGCUCAGGUGCGAAAGCGUGGGGAGCAAACAGG
rnacentral:rRNA from 1 species